rnacentral:sRNA from 1 species
CUUCGUCGAUCUGUUGCGGGCAGAUGAAAUGAAUAUGUGCGUCCAUACCUCCAGCGGUCAGAAUUUUGCCCUCGCUGGCGAUGAUUUCGGUGCCGGGGCCGAUGAUGAUCGUCACACCCGGUUGGGUGUCUGGAUUGCCCGCCUUGCCGAUCGCAGCAAUCAGCCCGUCCUUCAAUCCGACGUCAGCCUUGUAGAUGCCUGUGUGAUCAACAAUCAGAGCAUUGGUGAUGACCGUAUCGACAGCACCAUCAGCACGCGCAAUCUGGCUUUGGCCCAUGCCGUCGCGGAUG